rnacentral:rRNA from 1 species
AGUGAACGCUGGCGGUAGGCCUAACACAUGCAAGUCGGACGGCAGCACAGUAAGAGCUUGCUCUUACGGGUGGCGAGUGGCGGACGGGUGAGGAAUACAUCGGAAUCUACUUUUUCGUGGGGGAUAACGUAGGGAAACUUACGCUAAUACCGCAUACGACCUACGGGUGAAAGCUGGGGAUCUUCGGACCUUGCGCGAUUGAAUGAGCCGAUGUCGGAUUAGCUAGUUGGCGGGGUAAAGGCCCACCAAGGCGACGAUCCGUAGCUGGUCUGAGAGGACGAUCAGCCACACUGGAACUGAGACACGGUCCAGACUCCUACGGGAGGCAGCAGUGGGGAAUAUUGGACAAUGGGCGCAAGCCUGAUCCAGCCAUACCGCGUGGGUGAAGAAGGCCUUCGGGUUGUAAAGCCCUUUUGUUGGGAAAGAAAAGCAGCAGGUUAAUACCCCGCUGUUCUGACGGUACCCAAAGAAUAAGCACCGGCUAACUUCGUG